GCUUCAAGUGAUCCAAGCCAGUAGUCGUGAAUUGUUCAAAGAGGUUUCAUCAAACUAGAAUUAUUUUAGAAUUGAAAUGCUGAAGGUUAGAUUUGUUUGGAUUAGAAAUCAAUCGCACGUUCCAGGAACCUUUGCAUUUACUCAAGACACCUGUGAUCUUAGCUAUCUGACAACGUGAACUUAGCUAUUUGAAUAGCAAAUAGAGGAUGCCAUAGCGUUCUGCCACACAUUGUGCAUUUUGCUACGUGUUUAAAGACAAAUUGUUGUAGCAGUUCAACUCAAGAAGGUUUGACAAAGUUAAAGAGAGUGAGAGAGACAGUCAAAAGAAAAGUCGAAAUAUUAUCUUCAAACGUGAUAAGGGAAAUCUAAGUUGACAAUAAUGAGGAUUUUCUUACUGAUCAUAACUGUGCUACCUCUUAAUUCAUCGUCAAUGGAAGAAAGCAAAUUUGGUGCAGUUUUUGAAGAAAUUCACAAUCCACAAAGAAAAAUGACGAGCAUGAUUGACAAGUCAUUUCAUAAAUGCAGUAUUGACGCAGCCUGCAAUUAUGUGGCAAAAAAUAUACAAACAAAUAGGUUUGACAGAUACAAACUUAAUCAAGACAUUGGCAAUGAAAGAACAAAUCUCAUUAUUUGGGCUAAACAAGAAAGAUACAAAAGUAAGCAUUAUUUCUCCUUUCAGCAUUUAUGGUGAAUACAGCGCUAAAUGACACAAACCUGUUAAUAUGAUAUAUCUUGCUGCCUUAUUUUUGUCUUUGCAAGGCCCAAGAUAAGUUUUUUGGACAAAAUAUCCAUAUUCUUGUUUGAGGAACAUAAAAUAAAAUUCAUUUUUUGCCCGAGAAGUUUACUUUCUAUUAAUGGCUACGGGCACUGGUUCAUUGAAUCUCAAACUUUAUUUGCCAACAAGGGGUUUAUAUAUUUAUUUGAAGAAUUAAAAUAUACAUCAAAGUGCAUCCAAUAAACACAGAAACGGAAACAAAAGCACAAAUUAAGGUACAUUUCCAAAUUUUCCGACGCUAUGUGAUCAAAAAAGCCUACUUCUUCCUUUGAAAUCUGGUCACAGAAUAAGAAUAAUAAUUUGAAAUUUGUUCUUACUCUGUGAUCUGGUACAAUAUCAUGAAACUUCUCAAAGAAGCUCAGAGUAGGUUUUUUGAAUUAUGCAUAGGCAGUUUUUUUGUUACUGUAUAUUUAUAUAAAUUACGGAAAUUUUUCAGCCUCUACUGUGAAUAUUGCCCUAAAGAAGCCUUCGUUUCAAUCUUCAAAAUGGGAAAGUACUAAUUUCUUUUUCGCAAGAUUUGCAAAUGAUGGCAUUGCUGAAACAUACUCGUGUACAACAGCUGAAAUUAACCCUUGGUGGCAAGUUGUCUUAGGUAGAAGAGCUGCAGUGAAAACUGUUAGGGUGCUACCGAUGCAUCCCCCUGUUGGCCUUGGUGUGACUGUCGGCGACCAGUAUCUAAACAAUGGCCUCGGCAACAAGCAAUGUCAUUUGGAAGCAGAUAGUGACUUUCACGUCUUCAGGUGCUCAGGAGCAAUUGGAAGAUAUGUGACAGUGUUUGCAAAAACCAUGUCAAAGGAAUACCUUGCAAUCAAUGAAGUUGAGGUUUACGAGGAUCUCUCAAUAUACUGACCAAUAAUAUCAUCAUGGAUACUGGCAAGAUCCAUAGAAAGAUUACACUUGGUUGAAAAAAGGAUGAUGAAGUUCAACUGGACACACGAGCUUGCUUGAACACUUCAUGAUAAAAUUCAAAUUUGAAAAUAUUUAUAAUUCAAAAAUUUAUGAUAAGUCCGACAAAUCUUUGAUGAUUUAAUAAUUAUUGAUGUAAUUAUUUAUCCCCCAUAAAACGAAAAAGCAGUUGUUUGUAUCGUUGCCUCGCAUUUUCUUGGUAGGUUACGAAUUCUAGAUGUAGGAAUACAUUGUACAUAUACUCUAUGUAAUUUUUACUGCAUAUCAGUUUCAAUUAUUAACGAAAAAUUAGAUAGAUAUAAGCUCAAAUUCUAAGGAUUCUGGUUUAUUCAAAAGACUUUCAUCUUAUUUAGAACAGUCCAUGGCACUAGAAACUGUAAACCAAAGGUUUUGUAAUGCUUAUCCAAAGUAGGAUUGUUAUGAUGGAUUUCAAACCAUUUAGAAUUAUUAACGAGAACAUAUUGACAAUAUUAAAGCAUAUUGUGGGGGAUUAGAUUAAUUGCCUUCGCCAUCAGAGCAUUUUUUCAAAUUUAGUUUGACUCUAAAAAUUUGACUGCCCAUCUCCCUUAGUAUUUUAGUCAUUUUAGUAUUAAACACUUGUGCGAUUAAACACUCUUUUGAUUUGGAAAAAAGCAAAUGAAAAGAAGUGUACCCAAACAUCAGGAAUGUGGAACAUCGCAAUUGAUUAAAUUUACAUCGAAACGCAUAUUGUUGAUUAUACUGAAUUUAUGUCGCUCUCAUCGUUAAAGCUUGCCUGCAAUGAUUACACAAGAUCUGGUUGGCCAUACUUUUUCAAUGAAUGUCAAUGAAUAGUGCGAUUCAACCUUUAAAAAACGCUUUUGAAAUAAACGAAAUCAUUCCAAAACCAACUUGAUUACGUUCAAAUUAUUGCCCUCGUAAUGUUCAAAGUUAUGGUGCAAGUUUGGAAAACAUUUGUGAAGCAAUUAGGCGCCAUAGUUUUUUGAAAACCAAUUACACAAAACUAUGAAAUAUUGGCAACACUUUUAAAUAAUAAAUUUGAAAAAAUUACUUUUCAAAUGACCAGAUAAGUUAAUGAUAAGUUAAUUUUAACUGGUCUCGAUUGCUUGAAACAUUUCGAAGCUUUCUAAGAUUCAAUCGAAAAUUUUUGUAGCAGGUUAUGUUAAUUGUGACACGAUACAUUUAAAGCUUUAUUUCCAAGAUUACAUCUAUGUCUUGGAGAACCAGUAAAAUCAUUAUUGGCUUUGGAGUUUAAGGAAAGUAGCAUAUUUCCGGUUAUUUUUUAUAACAACCCUUUUUCUUUAAAUGCCAUUUAGGCUUUUUAAUGUUGCGG